rnacentral:rRNA from 1 species
GAUGAACGCUAGCUACAGGCUUAACACAUGCAAGUCGAGGGGCAGCAUGGUCUUAGCUUGCUAAGGCCGAUGGCGACCGGCGCACGGGUGAGUAACACGUAUCCAACCUGCCGUCUACUCUUGGACAGCCUUCUGAAAGGAAGAUUAAUACAAGAUGGCAUCAUGAGUCCGCAUGUUCACAUGAUUAAAGGUAUUCCGGUAGACGAUGGGGAUGCGUUCCAUUAGAUAGUAGGCGGGGUAACGGCCCACCUAGUCUUCGAUGGAUAGGGGUUCUGAGAGGAAGGUCCCCCACAUUGGAACUGAGACACAGUCCAAACGCCUACGGGAGGCAGCAGUGCGGAAUAUUGGUCAAUGAGCGAGAGCCUGAACCAGCCAAGUAGCGUGAAGGAUGACUGCCCUAUGGGUUGUAAACUUCUUUUAUAAAGGAAUAAAGUCGGGUAUGGAUACCCGUUUGCAUGUACUUUAUGAAUAAGGAUCGGCUAACUCCGUG